AACGAACGCUGGCGGCAGGCCUAACACAUGCAAGUCGAGCGCCCUUUCGGGGGAGCGGCGGACGGGUGGGUAACGCGUGGGAAUCUGCCCUUCUCUACGUCAUAGCCUCGGGAAACUUGGAGUAAUACCUUAUACGCCCUGCGGGGGUAAGGUUUAUCGGGGAAGGAUUAGCCCGCGUUGGAUUAGGUAGUUGGUGGGGUAAUGGCCUAGCAAGCCGACGAUCCAUAGCUGGUUUGAGAGGAUGAUCAGCCACACUGGGACUGAGACACAGCCCAGACUCCUACGGGAGGCAGCAGUGGGGAAUCUUAGACAAUGGGGGCAACCCUGAUCGAGCCAUGCCGCGUGAGUGAUGAAGGCCUUAGGGUUGUAAAGCUCUUUCAGCUGGGAAGAUAAUGACGGUACCAGCAGAAGAAGCCCCGGCUAACUCCGUG
rnacentral:rRNA from 1 species